rnacentral:rRNA from 1 species
CACGUAGGAGGCGAGCGUUGUCCGGAAUCAUUGGGCGUAAAGAGCGCGUAGGCGGCCAGAUAAGUCCGGUGUGAAAGUCAAAGGCUCAACCUUUGAAUGCCGCUGGAAACUGUCUGGCUAGAGUCCGGGAGGGGCGAGUGGAAUUCCUGGUGUAGCGGUGAAAUGCGCAGAUAUCAGGAGGAACACCAAUGGCGAAGGCAGCUCGCUGGAACGGUACUGACGCUGAGGCGCGAAAGCGUGGGGAGCGAACAGG